AUGGCUCAGGACGAACGCUGGCGGCGUGCCUAACACAUGCAAGUCGAACGGAACUAUUUGACUGAUUCCUUCGGGAUGAAGAAUUUUAGUUAGUGGCGGACGGGUGAGUAACGCGUGAGUAACCUGCCUCUGAGAGGGGAAUAACGUUCUGAAAAGAACGCUAAUACCGCAUAACACAUAUUUGCCGCAUGACAGAUAUGUCAAAGAUUUUAUCGCUCGGAGAUGGAUUCGCGUCCGAUUAGUUAGUUGGUGAGGUAACGGCUCACCAAGACCGCGAUCGGUAGCCGGACUGAGAGGUUGAACGGCCACAUUGGGACUGAGACACGGCCCAGACUCCUACGGGAGGCAGCAGUGGGGGAUAUUGCGCAAUGGGGGCAACCCUGACGCAAGCAACGCCGCGUGAAGGAUGAAGGUUUUCGGAUUGUAAACUUCUUUUAUCAGGGACGAACUCUGACGGUACCUGAUGGACAAGCUCCGGCUAACUACGUGCCAGCAGCUGC
rnacentral:rRNA from 1 species